UAGAAAAGAUAUUUUGACAUUUUGUUGUGAAAUUGUCAAAUGCUUUUAAUACAUCAUUCAAGGUUGUCUGUUGUGAACACGGGAUGGGAGUCAUUGUUGAAGAAGUAGAAGAAAUGGAAGGAAAUUCGAGAGUCGGCCGCUGUAAAUUCUUAUUAGUAGUACUUUGAAAAUUUGUUUUAAAAUUUUGAUUUUCUAAUGAGGAAUUCGAAAAAGCUUCCCAUAUCUUAUCGGCCAUUGUCAAUAAGUCGAUGCAUGACAUUAUCCAAGUAAAGCAGGUGGUAUAAGUUAGGUUGCAGGAAACAAGAAGGAUAGGAAGACCACAACAGACUUAGGUGAAGGCAGUAUUGGACGCCAUCCUCAAGAGAAGGAAAACUAUGCAGGAAGCCAGAUAUCUAAAGCAUGGUCUAAGUUCGUACAUGGAGUGACGACAUAGUACAUGAGAGAGAACUUUCAAUUUUUUCAGCUGAAUUGUGAAUAACUUUAUAUUAGAUUGAGAACUUGUGGAUUAAUGUAACGUAAAAAAAAUAACAAAGGGCAAAGUUCAAGUGUA